rnacentral:lncRNA from 1 species
AGUUCCGACCACUGCGCGGGCUGUUUGGAAGACGUUCAGAGCAAGAAUUUAUUUAGUGUCGCCAGCGUCUCAUACAAGUUGACGACCACAGAGAUGGAAAAAGAACUCUGCAACCAAGGGCUGGAGCGUAAGAGACUGCGGAGGGCGGCUGAUGUCACUGCUGUUUUCUUCGACUUAAGUGUCCUCCGGCUUCGGGCGCUUCAGUUUACCCUGAGUUUACGCCCCUUCAGGCAGGGCAGUUACCGAUUCCUGCCCCAAGAGUGGCUUUACCCCAACUCGAUUUAGAGACUGCUGGCCUGACAACCAGACCAACGACUGGAGUUGUGCCCGUGUGGACACAGGACAGACCUGUCAAAGCGCACACGUCACCCAGUGUUGCUCCUGUUAGGUUUGUGAGCCUUAAUGCACCCACUUAAGUAUCCAGGUACUUGUGUCUCUAGUCACAGAAUUAGACGAGAAACACGCCUUUCGAAGUAAAGACAGUUUAUUACGAAAAGGAAAGUAGGGUGGAUGAGAUGGCUCACAGAGUAAAGAAGCUUGCCUCCAAGCCUGAUGAUAACCUCAGUUCAAGACCCGAUGAGCGAGCCGAACUUCCACAAGUUGUCCUCAGGCCGGCACACGUGCACCUGCACUCUUAACCACAUUAUACAAAAUAAUAACUAAAAGAAAAUUGGGACCAGGCAUAGUGACCCACACUUUUUUUAUUAGAUAUUUACUUUAUUUACAUUUCAAAUGUCCCCUUUCUUGCUUUCCCCUCCGAAAACCCCCUAUCCUUUCUCCCCUCCCCCUGCUCACCAACCCACCCACACCUGCUUCCUGGCCCUGGCAUUCCCUAAACUGGGGCAUAGAACCUUCACAGGACAAAGGGCCUCUCCUCCUAUUGCUGACCAACUAGGCCAUCCUCUGCUACAUAUGCAGCUGGAGCCAUGAGUUCCACCAUGGGUACUCUUUGGUUGGUGGUUUAGUCCCUGGGAGCUCUGGGGGUACUGGUUAGUUCAUAUUGUUAUUCCUCCUAUAGGGCUGGAAACCCCUUCAUCUCCUUGGGUCCUUUCUCUAGCUCCUUCAUUGGGGACCGGACUCUUUUGAGACCCACACUUUUUUAAAUUCAGAGUUUGCAAGAGUCGGAAACAGUGUGAGUUGAGUCCAGUCAAGUCUACAUAAAUAGUUUCAAACUAGUCAGGAAUAUAGGGUCACACACAAGAGAAAGAAAGGAAGGAAAGGGCUUAAAGGGGGUGAGGAGCACUCUUGAGAAUGGGAGUGGUCUAGAGAGCAAAGAGCCUAGAAAAUGAAAUCUGUUCCUUAUGACCCUUAUCAUGACAUUUAUAUAGUACCUGCCACUCCUAAGUAUGUGAGGGCUUCUUUUGAGCAUGCUUCAUAUAUGUUGUACAUGUUAUAUAAAAAGACUUCCAUGAGGAAGUCUUUUUCUGCCAACUGGCUUUUAUAUGUUUAAUAUUACUGUAACUCUUACAGUCUCUCCUGUCACUACAUUCUUCUAGUGACUGUAUGUUCCUAGAUCUUUACUAAAGCAGAAUAGAAAGAUGAAAAUUUGGGGGGACAUGAGUAGGAAAAGCCUGAAAAAGUAGGUUUAUCUUCUUGUUCCUGCUAAUAGACUCAGAAUAAACUGUAGACUCUGGGGAAGGGGAGUGUCUUACUACUUUGGCUUUGCUAAAUGUUGUUGUUUGUUAAUUUUUCUUUCUAAAUGUUUGUACCCAUAUAUUGAUGCUCCUCUCAACCCUGGCCUUUCACUCACCACCCCCAGUGGGCAGUGGGUAAUGCAGAGACUUAUAAUAGAUCAAAGUGCUAAGAAUAAGCGACUCUUCAGUUCUCGGCCUUAAAUAGGAAAUCAGUAUCCUUCUUUCCAAGGCCCAUGAAACAUCGAGGAAACAAGGGUUAAAUGAAUAUAAACUGGAGGAUGGAAAGGAGUAUUGUGAACACUGUGUUCUAGACAUGACCAAAACACCCAUGAGCUCCUAAGAGCAAUGGCUGGGCACAUCAACUGGAAAGACACAGGAUGUCCUACAGGAAAAGUUCUUUAAGUCACAGGUUAUUUACUAAGAGGUGAAAUAUUCUGUCCUGCAGGGAAGUUCCUUAAGCUCAGGAAGUAAACAACUCAGGGGCAUCAGGAAGUUCCUGAAAUAGAUCAGAUUCACUAGGUCCCUUCUUUUCCAAGUGUGUAUUAGCAGUAAGGACUACUAAGAGAUAAUCUCAAGCUGGGCUGCCUAGAAGAGGCUCAUGCCAGGUGAGCAGCCUGGAAGAAACAGAGAUUAACCAUGCUGCCUAGAAGAGACUUAUGAUACCCUACCUAGAAGGGACAUUCUUUAGCCUGUUACUCAGCCUGCAGGCUGUGCAGUAUGCCCCAGGUUCCCAGCAUUUGUGAGCCAUCAUCCAUGUUGGGGUGGGCUUUGGUGGGAUAGCUAUCUUGGAGUUAUUUCCACUCCUAUAAGUAACACUUCACCAAUGUUCUUGUAAAUGACCCAAAUAAAACUCAUUUGUUC